GUGGCCAUGUCAGCAGCACAUAUCCUAAAACUGGAAUGAUGCAGAGGAGAUUAGCAUGGCCCUUGCUCAAGGAUGACAUGGAAAUUCAUGAAGUAUUCUAUAUUUUA
ensembl:snRNA U6 U6 spliceosomal RNA